AUUGAACGCUGGCGGCAGGCCUAACACAUGCAAGUCGAACGAGUGGCGGACGGGUGAGUAAUGUCUGGGAAACUGCCCUAUGGAGGGGGAUAACUACGGGAAACGGUAGCAAAUACCGCAUACCAGCGGAUGUUACCAGGAGGGAUUAGCUAGUAGGUGGGGUAACGGCUUACCAAGGCGACGAUCCAUAGCGGGUCUGAGAGGAUGACCAGCCACACUGGAACUGAGACACGGUCCAGACUCCUACGGGAGGCAGCAGUGGGGAAUAUUCCGCAAUGGGCGCAAGCCUGAUACAGCCACGCCGCGUGUAUGAAGAAGGUCUUCGGGUUGUAAAGCACUGUCAGCGAGGAGGCGUUACCUGAUGAAGAAGCCCCGGCUAACUCCGUGCCAGCAGCCGCGGUAAUUC
rnacentral:rRNA from 1 species